GAUGAACGCUGGCGGCGUGCCUAAUACAUGCAAGUCGAGCGAACGGACGAGAAGCUUGCUUCUCUGAUGUUAGCGGCGGACGGGUGAGUAACACGUGGAUAACCUACCUAUAAGACUGGGAUAACUUCGGGAAACCGGAGCUAAUACCGGAUAAUAUUUUGAACCGCAUGGUUCAAAAGUGAAAGACGGUCUUGCUGUCACUUAUAGAUGGAUCCGCGCUGCAUUAGCUAGUUGGUAAGGUAACGGCCUACCAAGGCAACGAUGCAUAGCCGACCUGAGAGGGUGAUCGGCCACACUGGAACUGAGACACGGUCCAGACUCCUACGGGAGGCAGCAGUAGGGAAUCUUCCGCAAUGGGCGAAAGCCUGACGGAGCAACGCCGCGUGAGCGAUGAAGGUCUUCGGAUCGUAAAACUCUGUUAUUAGGGAAGAACAUAUGUGUAAGUAACUGUGCACAUCUUGACGGUACCUAAUCAGAAAGCCACGGCUAACUACGUG
rnacentral:rRNA from 1 species